rnacentral:rRNA from 1 species
GACGAACGCUGGCGGCGUGCCUAAUACAUGCAAGUUGAGCGCUGAAGGUUGGUACUUGUACCAACUGGAUGAGCAGCGAACGGGUGAGUAACGCGUGGGGAAUCUGCCUUUGAGCGGGGGACAACAUUUGGAAACGAAUGCUAAUACCGCAUAAAAACUUUAAACACAAGUUUUAAGUUUGAAAGAUGCAAUUGCAUCACUCAAAGAUGAUCCCGCGUUGUAUUAGCUAGUUGGUGAGGUAAAGGCUCACCAAGGCGAUGAUACAUAGCCGGCCUGAGAGGGGGAUCGGCCACAUUGGGACUGAGACACGGCCCAAACUCCUACGGGAGGCAGCAGUAGGGAAUCUUCGGCAAUGGACGAAAGUCUGACCGAGCAACGCCGCGGGAGUGAAGAAGGUUUUCGGAUCGUAAAACUCUGUUGGUAGAGAAGAACGUUGGUGAGAGUGGAAAGCUCAUCAAGUGACGGUAACUACCCAGAAAGGGACGGCUAACUACGUG